ensembl:lincRNA
GUCUCCGUUGCUGCGCGCGCUCCCGCUGGCUCUCCGCCACCGGUCUCUUCCCAGUCUGGCAGGCGGCUUAGCUCGACGUGGAGUGGGAGUGGCGCCAAAAUUCAAACGAACUGCCGCAGUUGCAGGCGUGGCAUCGCCUGCUUCGAGAAGGUUGGCAGCCAGGAGUAGCCUUGACCUCACCCCAACUCUAACCCGGUGGCAGCCGCGCUGGGGAAGGGCAGAACUACGCAGGUGCCUCUGAGGCCUCACCUUAGGACGGUUGGCAAGCCUGGAGGGUUCUCCAGGACUGAACUACAACAUCCUGGUGUCUGCUUGCCUAGAGGACUG